UACGUAGGGCGCAAGCGUUGUCCGGAAUUAUUGGGCGUAAAGAGCUCGUAGGCGGCUUGUCACGUCGGUUGUGGAAGCCCGGGGCUUAACCCCGGGUCUGCAGUCGAUACGGGCAGGCUAGAGUGUGGUAGGGGAGAUCGGAAUUCCUGGUGUAGCGGUGAAAUGCGCAGAUAUCAGGAGGAACACCGGUGGCGAAGGCGGAUCUCUGGGCCAUUACUGACGCUGAGGAGCGAAAGCGUGGGGAGCGAACAGG
rnacentral:rRNA from 1 species